CUUCUGUCCAGCGCAGCCCUGAGGUGCCAGGUCCAGUGACACAAGGCUCUGUGCUGUGAGGAUGCAUUCCUCUGGAGUGGGCCAAGGUCCACUGGCUGGGGAGGAUCUGAAUAGGCCUAGGCUUCAGAGCGCUCCCUGGGCUGAGCUUGGACCUCGGGUCCAGAGAGACCAUCUCCAGAGAGGAAGGUUGGCUUCAGGGCUGCCCAGCUGGUGCAGAUGGGGUCUGGGCCUCUCCAAGAGUGACUCCCACCUGCAGCUCUCUGACCAGACCAGAAACCCGCAGGAAGAGCUGGCGUGAGCCCAGGGCCCCAUGCAGGUCUCCUCCCAUCCUUCCUACCAGGCCAGCAUUUCUACUCUGUGCAGCUACCAGCGAGGAGGGCCUGUGGGCUCAAAGACCCAACAGGAAUUCCUGCAGAAGCCCCAUAGCUUGAAGAGGGACCGUGGGAUGAAUGAGCCUGCAUGCAGCCUGGAAUGCAAAGUUCACCUGCAUCUCGUUAUUGGGCCAUGAGAAAUAGCAGCCCGACCCUCAGUUUGAUCCAGGAACAAUCUCACCAGGGCUUGCCAUCAGCCCAGGACAAUUGACAAGACACUGCUCUCGGGCACCAGAUACACCAACCGAGCGAUUCUCAGAACCCCUAGCAUGGGCCACAAACCAAACACGCAGAGCCGCAGCGAGGACAGAGGGUGCCGCGUGGCCCUUCCUGACAUUCUUUCAUCUGCACACUGUACCGUCAACUCAUUUUCUGCACGGAAUGAAGAUACAUCACUCUGCUCUGGAAAACUACAUUUAGCAUCUCCUUCUUUUUGUGGGGCAGGGAAGUUUUCAUCGACAAAGCGUUUGUAUUGCAGAUGGCUCACCAUAUGCCACGUUCCUGCACGUUAUCACCUUGUAAGCAGAUUCUGUCAGGUUUUAGGAGUAAAAGCUUAAUUAACAAGUGGUGUGUACAAUUAUGUACUUAAUUAUCUACUGCUUUUAUUUCUUUGUUGUUUCUUGUUUUCCAAAAGUUUGGUAACAAUUACAGGCAACUGUUGCCUAAUGCAAU
rnacentral:lncRNA from 1 species